GGCGGUUAAGUGGUUAGAGCGUCCGCCUCAAAUGCGGGUGGUCGCGGGUUCGAUCCCCGGACUAGUCA